AGAAAAACAAAGAGAUGAAAGAUGGAGAAGGAGAAAAUGAUGACAAAGAAGAGAAAGAAGGGUGAAAAACAUACAACUAAAGUCAAUUCUGUGGGGAAAAAAACCAUACUGGACUUCUACUAAUAAUGAUUCUCUAAAUAAUCAGACACCGCCUUCUAUCCAACAAUAACUUAAAAUGCGGAUGAAAGUACAUGGAAUAAAAUUUCAAAAACUGCGAAGCACAAUUAGAUGUGACCACCAGCUCCUCACAUCAAGAGGUAGAAUUUAUGUAGCCUCAUCCUGGAUGGCUUGUGACUGUUUCAAUCAACAGACAGGAGCAAAAGUGAUGCUGUGUGACUUCUGAGGAUGUGUCAGAAAAGGCCACGCUUUGAAUUCCUGGCCCUCUUGGACCCUUCACCCUGGAAGACGCCAGCUGCCAUAGAGGAUCCUGGUGCUGGAGUAGCCGUGUAAUUGUUCUGGUCAACAGCCCAGCCGAGCACCCAACUGACAGUCAGCAAUGUUGCCAGCCAUGUGAAUGAGCCACCUUGGACAUGAGCCCAGCUGAGCUUUCAAAUGACUGCAGCCCCAGCCAACAUCUGACUUUAACCACAAGAGAGACACCAAUGUGAGAACAGCCUGCUGAGACCUUCCUG